UAUGGCCGUGUUGUAAAUGCCCUUGGUAAUGCCACUGAUGGAAAAGGUCCAAUUGGUUUCAAGACCCGUAGGUGAGUUGGCCUGAAAGCCCCUGGGAUCAUUCCUCAAAUCUCUGUGCGUGAACCAGUGCAGACUGGUAUUAAGGCUGUGGAUAGCUUGGUGCCAAUUGGUCGUGGUCAGCGUGAGCUGAUUAUUGGUGACCGACAGACUGGCAAAAUAUCAAUUGCUAUUGACACAAUCAUUAACCAGAAAUGUUUCAAUGAUGGAACUGAUGAAAAGAAGAAGCUAUACUGUAUCUAUGUUGCUAUUGGUCAGAAGAGAUCCACUGUUGCCCAGUUGGUGAAGAGACUUACAGAUGCAGAUGCCAUGAAGUACACCAUUGUGGUUUCAGCUACUGCUUCUGAUGCUGCUCCCCUUCAGUACCUGGCUCCUUAUUCUGGCUGUUCUAUGGGAGAAUAUUUUAGAGAUAAUGGCAAACAUGCUUUGAUCAUCUAUGAUGACUUAUCCAAACAGGCUGUUGCUUAUCGUCAGAUGUCUCUGCUGCUCCGCCAGCCCCCUGGUCGUGAGGCCUAUCCUGGUGAUGUGUUCUACCUACACUCCUGUCUGCUAGAGAGAGCAGCCAAAAUGAACGAUUCUUUUGGUGGUGGCUCCUUGACUGCUUUACCAGUCAUAGAAACACAAGCUGGUGAUGUGUUUGCUUACAUUCCAACAAAUGUCAUUUCCAUCACUGAUGGACAGAUCUUCUUGGAAACAGAAUUGUUCUACAAAGGUAUCCACCCUGCCAUUAAUGUUGGCUUGUCUGUGUCCCGUGUUGGAUCUGCUGCCCAAACCAGGGCCAUGAAGCAGGUGGCAGGGACCAUGAAGCUGGAAUUGGCUCAGUAUCAUAAGGUUGCUGCUUUUGCCCAGUUCGGUUCUGACCUUGAUGCUGCCACUCAGCAACACUUGAGUUGUGGUGUGUGACUGACUGAGCUGCUGAAGCAAGGACAGUAUUCUCCCAUGGCUAUUGAAGAACAAGUGGCUGUUAUUUAUGCUGGUGUGAGAGGGUAUCUUGAUAAAUUGGAGCCCAGCAAGAUCACAAAGUUUGAGCAUGCUUUCCUGGCUCAUGUUAUCAGCCAGCACCAGGCCCUAUUGGGCAAUAGAAGGACUGAUGGAAAGAUCUCAGAACAGUCAGAUGCUAAGCUGAAAGAGAUUGUAACAAACUUCUUUGCUGGAUUUGAAGCUUAA